GUCUGAUCAGUGGCGAACGGGUGAGUAACACGUGAGUAACCUGCCCCAGACUCUGGGAUAACCCCGGGAAACCGGAGCUAAUACCGGAUAUGACACCAACGGGCAUCCGUAUGGUGUGGAAAGUUUUUCGGUCUGGGAUGGACUCGCGGCCUAUCAGCUUGUUGGUGAGGUAGUGGCUCACCAAGGCGACGACGGGUAGCCGGCCUGAGAGGGCGACCGGCCACACUGGGACUGAGACACGGCCCAGACUCCUACGGGAGGCAGCAGUGGGGAAUAUUGCACAAUGGGCGGAAGCCUGAUGCAGCGACGCCGCGUGAGGGAUGACGGCCUUCGGGUUGUAAACCUCUUUCAGCAGGGAAGAAGCGCAAGUGACGGUACCUGCAGAAGAAGCACCGGCUAACUACGUGCCAGCAGCCGCGGUAAUACGUAGGGUGCGAGCGUUGUCCGGAAUUAUUGGGCGUAAAGAGCUUGUAGGUGGUUUGUCGCGUCUGCUGUGAAAAUCCGAGGCUCAACCUCGGACUUGCAGUGGGUACGGGCAGACUAGAGUGUGGUAGGGGAGACUGGAAUUCCUGGUGUAGCGGUGGAAUGCGCAGAUAUCAGGAGGAACACCGAUGGCGAAGGCAGGUCUCUGGGCCAUUACUGACACUGAGAAGCGAAAGCAUGGGGAGCGAACAGGAUUAGAUACCCUGGUAGUCCAUGCCGUAAACGUUGGGAA
rnacentral:rRNA from 1 species